rnacentral:tRNA from 1 species
GGCGACAAAAAAAUCGCAUCAGACUUUUAAUCUGAGGGUCCAGGGUUCAAGUCCCUG